UGGUCCUUGUGAUUCGUCCUGUCUGUCUGUCUGUCUGUCUGCAGAACAACAUGCUGCUGCUUCUUCAUGCCGUCUGGACCGGCCUCCUCUUCGCAACAGCCCGCGUUUCGGCGACGGCCACUGAGACUGUUGUGGGCGUGGCCGGGGGGGACGUCACGCUGCCCUGCCGCUGUAGGGCGGCACAGCAGGUCGGGGUGGAGGUGUGCUGGGGGAGGGGCGAGCCCUCAAUCUUCAGCUGCCACAACGCAGUUAUCAGCGGGACUGGAAACCACGUGACUUACAGACGUUCAAAAAGGUACUCCAUGUCCUCCUCCUCUUCUCUUUACAUUUUCUCCUCUCGACCAGCAGACGCUGGUUUCUAUCACUGCAGAGUUCAUCUUCCAGGCCUCUUCAAUGACCAGGUGUCGAUCGUGCACCUCCUCAUCAUCAGAAGACGCUGCUCCUCCUGCAGCUCCAACUUUAAUUUCUCAGCACCCAACCGAUGAAGACGAGGAGAACUCAGGUGCAGGACACACCACGAAGAGUGACGUCAUGGUACCAACAGGAAGUGAUGUCACAGACAGCAACAACCCAGACGUGGUGGUAGCUCUGGUUCAGUCACAGGUUCAACAGGAAAAUUCUCUGCACAUUUUCAUUGGAAACACUCUGCGAUUCUCCUUCUUCAUCUUCAUCCCUCUUUUGGUCUCAGCUUGGUUUUACCGAGUUUGGAGAUCUAACCUGAGAUUUCCAACAAAUACGAGACCAGACCAACCAGAAGACGAGGAUGAUGAUUCUGUGUGAAGAGGAGACAAUCACUGUUGUCUUCUCCAGGUUACACCACAAGGCUCUAAAUUCAGACUUGUGUUUUUCUUUGGAUUCCACUGUCGUUUCUUUUUAAAAGUUUUUUUUUUUUUAAUGUUGUCUUGCAAGUUUGUUCCAUGAAUCAGGAUUGCUUUCAAGAAAAACAUAAUCAUUCAAGUUCUGCAGGUCUGUGUUUCAACGUCUCAUUUAAAAAAAAAAAAACAGUUUUCUAAAAGAUUAUUUUUCCUUGUUUUGUUGCCAUUGUGACCACACAAUGAAAAUUGCCACUGUUUUUUAUUUUAAACUACAAUAAUGUUCUUAUGAAUAGAAUAUGCUUUUAGCACAAGAGAGCAAUUCUUGAUACAGUGAAGAAUUCAAACAUAUUAAACCUUUGUUCAUUAACCUCAUACAUCUGAACACUCUGGAUUAUUUAAAAUUUGAGAGAAAUUUAUGCUAUCAAAAGUUGAGUUUUAUUUAAGCUGAAUAGCUGCAUAGAAAGCACUGUGGUUGUUUAAAAUGAAUACAGUAGCUGAUUUUGUUAAAUUAAACAAAAAUAGGUUUUCUGUUUUUUUACUUUAACCUUAAAUUCAUGUACUGUGAGCUAAUGGUAUUGUCUCACAAGCUUAGGAGGUUCUGAACAUGAGUGCUGCUUUGACAUCUAUGUCAGUGCAUGGCUCCGCCCAUAUGGGUUUUCUGAAGAGUCAUUUUGUGUAAGAGAAUAUGAGAUUUGUGACCCUGCACAGUAGCAUUUAUGAUUUUUGCUUCUAUCUAGUCAUUUGUUAAAGCUAAGCAUUGAUUUUUUUGUUUAGUCUGCUUUGUCAGGUUUGGAUGAGGUCAAUGUGGUAUUAUACUGUACAUGUUGGGGUUUGAACCCUAGACAAGGGGACAUCAUGAGGGGCGGGCCCACUAUGUGGAGCAGCAGUGGGAGUUACACACUGUGUUGUAUUGUUUCUGUAUAUUCCAUAAGGUCCAGUCUUAAGCACGUCCCGUCCCACAGCCUUAUUUAAAAGCAAAAACUCGACAUGGUGUCAGAAGUAGGACGCAGUUAGACUGAUAGAAAAAAAAAGACCAGCGGAGCACGGCAAAAACGCAGGAUGUCAGAGGAGUAAAUUGCAGCACUUCAGCUAUCCCAACUGCUACGUUUACCAUACACACUCUAGUUUUUUGACUUCACAAAACCACAAGAAUAGUUUUGGAUUAUAUUUUUGGAUUAGACAAUUUCAGAUCGCAAGCAACCUGUGAUGUCUGAUUAAAACCAGGUAAACACGUUGGUUUACUGCAUGGGGAAUGAAGCAGAAGAUGUGCUGAGAGGGCUAAAGUUAAUGGCGGAGAAAAAGAAACAAUAUGCAUCGGUAAAAGCCGGCCUCGACUCUUUCUUUGUGCCCAAGAAGAACGUAAUUUAUGACAGAGCCAAGUUAAAUCGGCAUGUGCAACAGCCGGAAUAAACUGUGGAUUCCUUCAUCAUGACGCUUUCCGGGUUAGCCGAACACUGUGACCAUGGACAGAUAAGUGAUCUGUGACAGGUUAGUGGUUGGCAUGAGAAACAUAGCCCUGUUUAAAAAGCUACAGUUGGAUGACAGACUAACCCUGGACACUGCCAUCAUAAAAGCUAGGCAAUCUGAAGAAGUUAGGUGACAGCAGUCAGACUAAAGAGGAGAAAACAGCAGUGCUAAGUGCUCAAAUGUCGAUGCUGUUCAUGUUAAGAACUACAGAAAGCCCAGAUUUCCUGCUAAGGCUCAAAGCACAGUCACAAAUGCAGACCGAGUUCACAAAAAAUGUGCGUCCACCGCCUGCACAAAAGCAGUUCUGUUUUAAGUCAAAGUCAUGGUGUUUUAUGAAUUUGUUUUUAAAUCUUCUGUUAGUCUGGUGACCUGUCCAGGGUGUCACCUGCCUUCGCCUGCCAGUGGCCGGGAUAGGCUCCGGCAGCCCCGUGAUCCCGAAAGGGAAUAAACGGAAUAGAAAAUGAAUUAAUCUUCUGUUAGUGGGCUGAUUAUUUUAAACGUGUUUUUGAAGACCUCUAGCGGUCGCGCCAGGUAUUAUUGUUCAACAUAUUUAUUUGAAUGACCUUUAUUGAAAAGUUCACAUGUAGAAAACAGAAAGGACUGGCUAGCAUGCACACACUUCAUUUUUUGUUUUGCUUUGUUUUUCCAAUAAACUUUAUUGCACAUCUUUCAAUUUACAGAAAUUCACAUUCAGUUGCACAAUAAAGAAACAAUUGUUAAUGUCACACAUAUAAGACCAAAAAACAAUAACAGUAAUAAGCCCUG